AGUGAACGCUGGCGGCGUGCCUAAUGCAUGCAAGUCGAACGGACAAGUAAGAGCUUGCUCUUAUGAGUUAGUGGCGCACGGGUGAGUAAUGUAUAGCUAAUCUGCCCUACACUAGAGGACAACAGUUGGAAACGACUGCUAAUACUCUAUACUCCUGUCUUACAUAAGUUAGAUAGGGAAAGUUUUUCGGUGUAGGAUGAGGCUAUAUUGUAUCAGCUAGUUGGUGAGGUAAUGGCUCACCAAGGCUAUGACGCAUAACUGGUCUGAGAGGAUGAUCUGUCACACUGGAACUGAGACACGGUCCAGACUCCUACGGGAGGCAGCAGUAGGGAAUAUUGCUCAAUGGGGGAAACCCUGAAGCAGCAACGCCGCGUGGAGGAUGACACUUUUCGGAGCGUAAACUCCUUUUGUUAGGGAAGAACAAUGACGGUACCUAACGAAUAAGCACCGGCUAACUCCGUGCCAGCAGCCGCGGUAAUACGGAGGGUGCAAGCGUUACUCGGAAUCACUGGGCGUAAAGGACGCGUAGGCGGAUUAUCAAGUCUCUUGUGAAAUCCUAUGGCUUAACCAUAGAACUGCUUGGGAAACUGAUAAUCUAGAGUGAGGGAGAGGCAGAUGGAAUUGGUGGUGUAGGGGUAAAAUCCGUAGAGAUCACCAGGAAUACCCAUUGCGAAGGCGAUCUGCUGGAACUCAACUGACGCUAAUGCGUGAAAGCGUGGGGAGCAAACAGG
rnacentral:rRNA from 1 species